UCUAGGUUUACUGGUAUAUAUAGAAACAGGAGUUUGCUUGUUUAUAUGUUCCACACUCAAAAAGGCAUAAUCAAAAUGUUUCUAAAUAAUGAUUUUACAAAAACCAUCAUUUACAUAAUUUGUAUAAAAAGCUUAAUACAAUUUUAAUCAAAAUUUUAAGUAAUUUAAAAAAUGCUUUAAGAUUCUAUAUUUCUGGAGUACCUAUGAAGUGGUAUGACUACAUCAUGUGAAAUAUUUAUUUUCUUCUUUAACUUUGGAGUAGCAGCCAUUAUAUAGCUCGUUCAGACUCUGUGAACAUUACACCUACUAGGUUUCGAUUUAUCACGUGGCACAGAAUCUGCCUUUGCACUGAGUACCUUUUCAUUCGCAUCUCCUCUGCCU
rnacentral:lncRNA from 1 species